GCCGUACAGUGACUGCGGAGGAUCAUUGUCGAAGCCUCACAAGCAGUGCGACCCUGUGAAUAUGUUUUACUACUCAGGGGUGGCUAGAGGUGUUCGUCACCUCGGUCCCCCUCGUGUCGGGAGGCGCCACACCCUGUGUGGUCUCCUCCUGGCCCAAUAACAAAACCCCGGCGCCGAACGCGCCAAGGAAAUUUUAAUUGUCUAGUGCGCCCCCGUCGGCCCGGAGACGGUGCCCGUGCGGGUGGUGUUGCGACACAUGUAUCCUAAAGACUCUCGGCAACGGAUAUCUCGGCUCUUGCAUCGAUGAAAAACGUAGCGAAAUGCGAUACUUGGUGUGAAUUGCAGAAUCCCGUGAACCAUCGAGUCUUUGAACGCAAGUUGCGCCCGAAGCCAUUAGGCCGAGGGCACGCCUGCCUGGGUGUUGCACAUCGUUGCCCCUGUUCCUUGGCCACGUGCUAGGCACCGAGUGGGGCGAAUGUUGGCCUCCCGUGAGCAGUGUCUCACGGUUGGUUGAAAACUGAGUUCGCGGUGGAGGGCGCCGUGAUGGAAGGUGGCUGAGUUAAAGCUCGAGACCGAUCGUGCGUGUCACCCCCACCAGCUUUGCAACUCUGUGACCCAUGGGGGUCUGUUGGCCUCCUAAGACGGGAACCUCAGGUCAGGCGGGGCUACCUGCUGAGUUUAAGCAUAUCAAUAAGGGGAGGAGGAAUUUUACAACUUUCAACAAUGGAUCUCUUGACCUCUGACAUCGAUGAAGAACGCAGCGAAAUGCGAUAAGUAGUGUGGAUUUGCAGAAAUUCAGUGAAUUCAUCGAAUCUUUGAACGCACAUCGCGCCCCCUCGGGAAUCCGUGGGGCAUGCCUUGUUCGAGCGUCAUCUACCACCUUCAAG
rnacentral:rRNA from 1 species